GCCCAGACUCCGCCCAGCGCCCGGGCAGGCCACCCCGAGCCCCUUAACUGCGCAGGCGCUCUCACUCAGAAAGGCCGCUGGGUGCGGGGAACGCAGAGGCGGUGCAGGGCGGCUGGCUCGCCUCGGCGUGCAGUGCGCGUGCGUGGAGCUGGGAGCUAGGUCCUCGGAGUGGGUCGGAGAUGGCGGCGGCCGACGGGGCUUUGCCGGAGGCGGCGGCUUUAGAGCAACCCGCGGAGCUGCCUGCCUUGGUGCGGGCGAGUAUCGAGCGGAAGCGGCAGCGGGCAUUGAUGCUGCGCCAGGCCCGGCUGGCUGCCCGGCCCUACUCGGCGACGGCGGCUGCGGCUACUGGAGGCAUGGCUAAUGUAAAAGCAGCCCCAAAGAUAAUUGACACAGGAGGAGGCUUCAUUUUAGAAGAGGAAGAAGAAGAAGAACAGAAAAUUGGAAAAGUUGUUCAUCAACCAGGACCUGUUAUGGAAUUUGAUUAUGUAAUAUGCGAAGAAUGUGGGAAAGAAUUUAUGGAUUCUUAUCUUAUGAACCACUUUGAUUUGCCAACUUGUGAUAACUGCAGAGAUGCUGAUGAUAAACACAAGCUUAUAACCAAAACAGAGGCAAAACAAGAAUAUCUUCUGAAAGACUGUGAUUUAGAAAAAAGAGAGCCACCUCUUAAAUUUAUUGUGAAGAAGAAUCCACAUCAUUCACAAUGGGGUGAUAUGAAACUCUACUUAAAGUUACAGAUUGUGAAGAGGUCUCUUGAAGUUUGGGGUAGUCAAGAAGCAUUAGAAGAAGCAAAGGAAGUCCGACAGGAAAACCGAGAAAAAAUGAAACAGAAGAAAUUUGAUAAAAAAGUAAAAGAGGUUGUUCCCGCCUUCCUGAAUAGGCCACAAAGGGCUGAGAUUGGAGUAGACACUGUAGAGAUUAGACACAAGGAGCUUACUGUGCAGUUUUCUCAGAAGGCUCAGAACAGAGAGGAAUAAAAGCAAGUCUAAAAGUAUUUUAGUUGAAAAGAAAUUGGAACCUGGUUCCUCUUGGUCUUCUGAUUUUGAUCCACAAAGAAGCUGACACAGUUUACUUCUUUAUGGGAAGCUGACUCCUUUUCCUACUGUGGCAUUCUGUUAUCUGAAGUCAAACGUACCUGAAUGUGUCCUAUUGUGUUACUCAACUCACUUCUGAAUAUGGUUCUGUUUUGCAUACCACCAACCCACAUAACCAUUUCUGAAUCUCUUGUUUCACACUGCUCCAGUGACAACUUGAUUCACAGGCCAAACUAGUGAGAAUUGCGGCGAGCAGUAAGAAGCAGUGUGUGGAAAAGGGAGACGAUUGUUCAUCAACAUGAGUAUGGACCAGAAGAAAACCUAGAAGAUGACAUGUACCGUAAGACUUGUACUAUGUGUGGCCAUGAACUGACAUAUGAAAAAAUGUGAUUUUUUAGUUCAGUGACCUGUUUUAUAGAAUUUUAUAUUUAAAUAAAGGAAAUUUAGAUUGGUCCUUUUCAAAAUUCAAAAAAAAAAACGCAACAUCUUCAUAGAUGAAUGAAACCCUUGUAUAAGUAAUACUUCAGUAAUAAUUAUGUAUGUUAUGGCUUAAAAGCAAGUUUCAGUGAAGGUCACCUGGCCUGGUUGUGUGCAGAAUGUCAUGUCUGUGAUUGCUUUCUUACAACAGAGAUGGGAGCUGAGUGCUAGAGUAGGUGCAGAAGUGGUAGGUCAGCUACAAAUUUGAGGACAAGAUACCAAGGCAAACCCUAGAUUGGGGUAGAGGGAAAAGGGUUCAACAAAGGCCGAACUGGAUUCUUAACCAAGAAACAAAUAAUAGCAAUGGUGGUGCACCACUGUACCCCAGGUUCUAGUCAUGUGUUUUUUAGGACGAUUUCUGUCUCCACGAUGGUGGAAACAGUGGGGAACUACUGCUGGAAAAAGCCCUAAUAGCAGAAAUAAACAUUGAGUUGUACGAGUCUGA